UUAUAAGGAUCAAGUGGAGGGCAAGUCUGGUGCCAGCAGCCGCGGUAAUUCCAGCUCCACUAGCGUAUAUUAAAAUUGUUGCGGUUAAAACGUUCGAAGUUGAUUAUUGUCCAGUACGGGUGUGGCACCAUCAAGUAAAUGGUUGCCAUCAUUUCCGCUGACUUGGACUAUAUGACUGAACAUUUUAAUGAAUAACACUGAUGCCUUUCAUUAGGCUAGGUGUCUAUUUAGUUCGGCUUACUAUUACCUUGAACAAAUUAAGGUGCUCAAAGCAGGCUCAUAUGCCUGAAUAUUUUUGCAUGGAAUA
rnacentral:rRNA from 1 species